AUACGGAGGAUGCAAGCGUUAUCCGGAUUUAUUGGGUUUAAAGGGUGCGUAGGCGGUUUGCUAAGCGGGAGGUGAAAUGCCGGCGCUCAACGUCGGAAGUGCCUCCCGAACUGGUGGACUGGAAGGACUCUGCCGGGGGCGGAAUGUGAACUGUAGCGGUGAAAUGCUUAGAGAUUACACAGAACACCGAUUGCGAAGGCAUCUCACGAAGGGUUGAUUGACGCUGAGGCACGAAAGCGUGGGGAUCAAACAGGAUUAGAUACCCUGGUAGUCCACGCAGUAAACGAUGAUGGCUAACCGCUGGUUUUUUCGGAUCAGUGGCCAAGCGAAAGCGAUAAGCCAUCCACCUGGGGAGUACGACCGCAAGGUUGAAACUCAAAGGAAUUGACGGGG
rnacentral:rRNA from 1 species